UCGAUCCUAAUUUUCUCUUGAAGAAAUCACAACACGCUUCCUAUCGGAAGACUCGGAGCCACUUAGGAGAUUUAGUGUCCGGGUUACCAGUGAAGACUCCCACUAAGAAACGGCAGCAUGAGGUAUCCUUUAUCGAUGUCCACCUUCAUUUUCUUUUGGAUCAUACUUGUAACCCGCUCAUAUUUUAAGAUAUUACUCUUUGCAGACUUCUCCCCCUUCAUCAGGCGACUCAAUGAUGACAGCCCUUUCGCCAAUGGUUCGCGUACCAGGAGCACAAGCGUAGAAGAGAAAGCCUGGCGGCUCAACUUCCACCCCGGCUCCAGAACUUAAAGAAAUGCCAGCACCGGCUCGUGCUGACCGGGCGAAAGAUAUACCUGAUGAUCAGGUUGGCCUUCCAGGUUCUUCCAAGGAAGGCAUGGAAACGCCGAACCCGUCAAAUCCAUUCAAGGCGACUGAAGAUCCUAACACUGUAAUCAUUACUGGUACUAGCUUUUCUAAGCCGGCUUCGACAGUCUUAUCGAAACAUGUAUCAACAUCGUCCGAUCCUUCUACUGGACAUGAAAUUUCCAA